AUUCAACGCUGGCGGCAGGCCUAACACAUGCAAGUCGAACGAGUGGCGGACGGGUGAGUAAUGUCUGGGAAACUGCCCGAUGGAGGGGGAUAACUACUGGAAACGGUAGCUAAUACCGCAUACCAUCGGAUGUGCCCAGAUGGGAUUAGCUAGUCGGUGGGGUAACGGCUAACCGAGGCGACGAUCCCUAGCUGGUCUGAGAGGAUGACCAGCCACACUGGAACUGAGAAACGGUCCAGAGUCCUACGGGAGGCAGCAGUGAGGAAUAGUGGACAAGGGGCGCAAGCCUGAUGCAGCCAUGCCGCGUGUAUGAAGAAGGCCUUCGGGUUGUAAAGUACUUUCAGCGAGGAGGCGUGACGCGCAGAAGAAGCACCGGCUAACUCCGUGCCAGCAGCCGCGGUAAUA
rnacentral:rRNA from 1 species